UUAAGUUCAGCGGGUAUCCCUACCUGAUCCGAGGUCAAGACUUGUAAUUUUGGUCGUUUCACGGCCGGCACCGCCGGAGCUCGGAGCGUGUUCAGUACUGCGCUCAGAGUCCACGGCGGCUCCGCCACUGAGAUUCGGGGCCAUCGGUGCUGUACCGAUGCGCCCCAACGGCAAGCCGAAGCUUGAGGGUCGAAAUGACG
rnacentral:misc_RNA from 1 species